rnacentral:rRNA from 1 species
UGCCUUAGUAACGGCGAGUGAAGCGGCAACAGCUCAAAUUUGAAAGCUGGCCCUUUCAGGGUCCGCGUUGUAAUUUGUAGAGGAUGAUUCGGCGAGGGCUCCCGCCUAAGUCCCCUGGAACGGGGCGUCAUAGAGGGUGAGAAUCCCGUAUGGGGUGGGAUGCCUUAGCCAUGUGAAUCUCCUUCGACGAGUCGAGUUGUUUGGGAAUGCAGCUCUAAAUGGGAGGUAAAUUUCUUCUAAAGCUAAAUACCGGCCAGAGACCGAUAGCGCACAAGUAGAGUGAUCGAAAGAUGAAAAGCACUUUGGAAAGAGAGUUAAAAAGUACGUGAAAUUGUUGAAAGGGAAGCGCUUGCAACCAGACUUGUCCGCAGUUGCUCAGCCGGUCUCCUGACCGGCGUACUCUUCUGCGGCCAGGCCAGCAUCAGUUCGGGCGGUCGGAUAAAGACCUCGGGAAUGUAGCUCCUCUCGGGGAGUGUUAUAGCCCGGGGUGGAAUGCGGCCAGCCUGGACUGAGGAUCUCGCUUCGGCAAGGAUGCUGGCGUAAUGGUUGUAAGCGGCCCGUCUUGAAACACGGACCAAGGAGUCUAACAUCUAUGCGAGUGUUUGGGUGUCAAACCCAUACGCGUAAUGAAAGUGAACGGAGGUGGGAACCCGCAAGGGUGCACCAUCGGCCGAUCCUGAUGUCUUCGGAUGGAUUUGAGCAAGAGCAUAGCUGUUGGGACCCGAAAGAUGGUGAACUAUGCCUGAAUAGGGUGAAGCCAGAGGAAACUCUGGUGGAGGCUCGCAGCGGUUCUGACGUGCAAAUCGAUCGUCAAAUUUGGGUAUAGGGGCGAAAGACUAAUCGAACCAU